GGAAACUUGAGGGCCAGUCCUUUGCCACGUCGAGCCUUCAGCCGGUUCACCUCGGUCGCUACCGGAGCGGCUGUUUUUUGGGGGUUUUUUGUAAGCUCCAGGGAGGUUUCGGAAGACGAAUCCAAACGAGUAAAAGUAGCGUUUCCAACACGAACCGGCGUGGCUUUUGUGGCGACCUUGAAUGAAAAGGACGUCGGGAGAUGUUUCGGGGGGCUAAGCAGUCAAGAAGGAGAGAAAAGAAACAUCAGCCAAGAAGAAGAGACAUCACUGGGGAGAAGUCGCAAGUCUCGGUCAGGAAUGCGGCUCCUCGCAGCGGGAGUGUCGUUGAAUCUGCCCGUCCGUGGGCAUCACAUCUGUCUAACCUCUCCUCUUCCUCAGCCUUCACCCGUCCCUACCGGCCCCCCUUCAUCCAUCCCUCACACGCUGUUUUCCUUCAGGUCCGCACAAUCGGCCUUGAUCAGCGCUACGUAAGAGUCAGACUAUGAGAGCGGAGGGACCUGGGAUCUCAGUGAGUAGAGUUUCAAAGGUCUCAUACUGUGGUGGUAUCUGUAAAAAAAAAAAAAAAAAAUGUUCUCCACAGCAUCCUUUCAGCCGCCCAGCCCGCCUGCCCAGUGUUCAGACUACCUGUUCAGGAAGUAGUGGUUGUACAGUAGUCUGCACAUUGGUUAGGCUGGCCGGGGAAGCACGGGACGACUCCCAGAGCGCUCCAGAGGGGCAUCCAGCAGGCGCGAGCACAUCGGGCUGUGGGAGCACGCAGCACCACCCCUCAUGCAUCUGGGCAAGCCUAAAAUAAAAGCACCCGAAGGCUCCACCGCAGGAGCCUGGCGUUGGAUUUAUGAGUGACAGAUAGCUGAAGUCCCAAAAUGUCUUGAGUUUGUCUUGGUGUGUAAAGAUUUUAUUUCUGUAUUGUGUUGAACAAAGCAUGAAGACCGAUGGAGAUGCAAAUGUUUGAAAAAGCUGAAAUAAAAUGACUUGGAUAUCUA